UACGUAGGGGGGCUAGCGUUGUCCGGAAUCAUUGGGCGUAAAGAGCGCGUAGGCGGCCAGAUAAGUCCGGUGUGAAAGUCACAGGCUCAACCUGUGAAUGCCGCUGGAAACUGUCUGGCUUGAGUCCGGAAGGGGCGAGUGGAAUUCCUGGUGUAGCGGUGAAAUGCGCAGAUAUCAGGAGGAACACCAAUGGCGAAGGCAGCUCGCUGGAACGGUACUGACGCUGAGGCGCGAAAGCGUGGGGAGCGAACAGG
rnacentral:rRNA from 1 species